GACGAACGCUGGCGGCGUGCUUAACACAUGCAAGUCGAACGGAAAGGCCCUGCUUUUGUGGGGUGCUCGAGUGGCGAACGGGUGAGUAACACGUGAGUAACCUGCCCUUGACUUUGGGAUAACUUCAGGAAACUGGGGCUAAUACCGGAUAGGAGCUCCUGCUGCAUGGUGGGGGUUGGAAAGUUUCGGCGGUUGGGGAUGGACUCGCGGCUUAUCAGCUUGUUGGUGGGGUAGUGGCUUACCAAGGCUUUGACGGGUAGCCGGCCUGAGAGGGUGACCGGCCACAUUGGGCCUGCGAGACGGCCCAGUCUCCAACGGGAGGCAGCGGUGGGAAAUAUUGCACAGUGGGCGGGAGCGUGAGGCAGCAACGCCGCGUGCGGGAUGACGGCCUUCGGGUUGUAAACCGCUUUCGCCUGUGACGAAGCGUGAGUGACGGUAAUGGGUAAAGAAGCACCGGCUAACUACGUG
rnacentral:rRNA from 1 species